CACCAGACUCCUACGGGAGGCAGCAGUGGGGAAUAUUGGGCAAUGGGCGCAAGCCUGACCCAGCAAUGCCGCGUGAAGGAAGAAGGCUUUCGGGUUGUAAACUUCUUUGACAGGGGAAGAGCAGAAGACGGUACCCUGAAAACAAGCCACGGCUAACUACGUGCCAGCAGCCGCGGUAAUACGUAGGUGGCAAGCGUUAUCCGGAUUUAUUGGGUGUAAAGGGCGUGUAGGCGGGAGCGCAAGUCAGAUGUGAAAACUCAGGGCUCAACCCUGAGCCUGCAUUUGAAACUGUGUUUCUUGAGUGCUGGAGAGGCAAUCGGAAUUCCGUGUGUAGCGGUGAAAUGCGUAGAUAUACGGAGGAACACCAGUGGCGAAGGCGGAUUGCUGGACAGUAACUGACGCUGAGGCGCGAAAGCGUGGGGAGCAAACAGGAUUAGAUACCCGGGUA
rnacentral:rRNA from 1 species